rnacentral:rRNA from 1 species
AUACGGAAGGUCCGGGCGUUAUCCGGAUUUAUUGGGUUUAAAGGGAGCGCAGGCGGAGAUGCAAGCGUGACGUCAAAUUUCGGGGCUCAACCCCGUCUCGCGUCGCGAACUGCGUCCCUUGGUUGCGGGAAGGGGAGGCGGAACUCGGGGUGUAGCGGUGAAAUGCAUAGAUAUCACGAAGAACUCCGAUCGCGAAGGCAGCCUUCCGGCCCGUCAACGACGCUCAUGCUCGAAGGUGCGGGUAUCAAACAGGAUUAGAUACCCCGGUAGUCCGCACAGUAAACGAUGGACACCCGCGGUUUGGCCUAUAUGGCUGAGCCGCCAAGCGAAAGCGUUAAGUGUCCCACCUGGGGAGUACGCCGGCAACGGUGAAACUCAAAUGAAUUGACGGGG